GACGAACGCUGGCGGCGUGCUUAACACAUGCAAGUCGAACGAUGAUGCCCUUCGGGGUGGAUUAGUGGCGAACGGGUGAGUAACACGUGGGUGAUCUGCCCUGCACUUUGGGAUAAGCCUGGGAAACUGGGUCUAAUACCGGAUAGGACCAUGGGAUGCAUGUCUUGUGGUGGAAAGCUUUUGCGGUGUGGGAUGGGCCCGCGGCCUAUCAGCUUGUUGGUGGGGUGAUGGCCUACCAAGGCGA
rnacentral:rRNA from 1 species